UACGGAGGGAGCAAGCGUUGUUCGGAAUCACUGGGCGUAAAGGGCGUCUAGGCGGUUUGGUAAGUGGGAUGUGAAAUCCCCGGGCUCACCCCGGGACCUGCAUCCCAAACUGCUGAGCUUGAGUACAGGAGAGGGUGGGGGAAUUCCAGGUGUAGCGGUGAAAUGCGUAGAUAUCUGGAGGAACACCGGUGGCGAAGGCGCCCACCUGGCCUGCUACUGACGCUGAAGCUCGAAAGCUAGGGGAGCAAACGGG
rnacentral:rRNA from 1 species